ensembl:lncRNA
AUUUGUUCAGUCACAGCAGUACACUGUUGAUGCAUAAAUUGUGCUAAAAGCAGGAAAGCAUUGAAAGCACACCGGUGUGAGGUGAAUGUAAAUCCACUUGCAGCUUUUAAGACAAGGCUCCCCAAAUGGAUAUUAGCAAAAGUGCUGUCGAAGAAAAGCUAGCUUAUCCGGUGAGAGAACCUCAUCAUCAAGAAAGAACAAUACUUUUACUGGACAGGAAUUCAGUCCUGCAUAAUGAGGAAAACUGUUGCAGGCUGUAAAGAAGGAAAAAAAACAGUUUGUUCACGUUCCAGCCAAGAGCAACAGAGGACGAAGAAGCUCUGAGCCAGAGCUGUGGAAGUGCUUAAUGUGGUGAAGCUACAGAGUCGUCCUGGGAACUUUUACUCAAGUACAGUGAUGCAUUUUUGCUGUACUUUGGCCGUUUAUGCCAAUCAAACCCAUCAGAAAUGUUCUUGGAAGUGAAAACAGCAGUUAGAAGUUGUAAAUGUGGCGUUGGGAUGGACGUUUCAGGAACCAUACAGCUCAGAAAUGGUGCAGUUCACAGUUACUGACUUGAACAUCUUUUUAAAUGUAAAUACUUCUUGGAUACUGUUCUGCCCAACCUUCAUAGUGGUAACUGUUUCUGAUUCUUUCUCUUUCUGCUCCUCUCCCCCCAGCUGAUUUAGGCAGUCCACCACCCACCCUAAGUCUGGUUCUGUCUGAUGUCUGAGGAAUCAAGUUUUUCCUCACCAUCGUCACCAAGUGCUGCUCAGAGGGGAAAUGGAUUUCUUUCUACAAUACUUUUCCAAGUGACCACAUGGGUGGAGCCAAGGCGGAGUCUGGGUGGAGUCAGGGCGGAGAGUAGGCGGGGAGGUGGGUGGCGGCCUCCCCCCUCUACUCCCCCACCUCCCUCCACCGCCCACCACACCUUCCCCCGCCCGACGAG